GCCAGCUCAGUUGGUAGAGCAUGAGAUUUUUAAUCUCAGGGUCAUAGGUUCGAGCCCCAUGUUGGGCA